rfam:Genlisea aurea contig_94563, whole genome shotgun sequence.
GCCAGGGUGGCCGAGUGGUUAAGGCGUUGGACUUAGGAUCCAAUUCACAAUAGUGAGCAUGGGUUCGAUUCCCAUCCCUGACA